AAAAUACAUUUUAGUUCAAUAUUAGUAAUUAAUACAUUGUGUUUAUUAAUAAUUUUGCAACAAAGUUGCAUGUUAUAGGUUAUCGUCUAAACUCAUAAAAAUUUUACAAAUAGAUUAAACAAAUAAUUAUUGUAUAACCAAUAAAAGCAACAAGACGAAUGGCAGUGUUAACCAAUGUGUUUCGUCAGGUUAAGUACAUUCUUUAACAUAUAUCAUACCCUUCAAUGAAUAAAAUAUAAUUUUAAACGGGACCUACAGGACGCGUCCUGCUCCUUUAAUUCAACACGAUGGGGACAAUCCUGCGAUAUUAACAGCGAGGAAAUGACAGUUUGUCCCAUGUUGACAUAUUAGAUAAUCUCCGGAAAAUGACAACGAUUAUUUAUAAGGCCGUUUCAACCGUACCCCGCGUCCCAAAGGGGUGGUGGUGGUAAAAAGGGGGCGAAGCGACGACGAAUUGUCAUGCGGAUUAUAUUCGAAUGUAUACCGAUCUUCGCGAGGAGUUCCUGCGGGAACGGUUCCGUCAGGCAACGGGCGACGCAUCCCUCCGCCACCCUCGAGAGAUUUAUGUGGGCUCCAGAUUUAUAUGAAUCGAAUAUUUAUAAUCUGCUUGGGACAGGACAAAUUAAAUAUAACGGAAGGUUGGGUUGAUAUAUCUCUUGGGGACAAACGAUCAGAAAGAGAAAAUUUUUGGGUUUCUGGUGAUGUAUGGGCACGUAGGGAGUGAGUUACGAUCUGGAGGAGAUCGUUAUCCGGUCGCAGUUUGUUUGUUUGUCCUGAAUCAACGUGGGGAAAAGUCGAAAGAUAUCAAACGGUCAGUUCUUAAGUUGCGACAUGGAGGUUUCGUCGCCGAUUGGGGUGGAUUUGCACAUGUAAGGCCGACGGUCGUCUCAUCACGAUCCAGGAAGCGGUCAGUUGAUUAUGGAUUCGACACCGGGGUAAAGAUCGUGCCUUGAAUUUUGAUCGGCGUGAUGGAAUAAACGAAAAGAAAAGAAAGGAAACCGAUCGCGUAAUUUUAUCCAUGUAGGAAAUCAAUAGUUUCCGUUUUGUGUGCGGGAGGAAAAAUUUUCUAUAGAGUUGGGAAAUAUGGUUUGCGCUCCUCCUUUAAAGUAGGAAUCUUUCCAUCUGUCGCUUGUGGUGUUGGUGAGCCGUGAGGCGUCGCGACGCGCCGUUGCACCCUCGGGGGAAUCGAAGCUCGAUUUGUCGCGCCAGGUCAUUAAAGCUCAACAGUCCCACGGCGGUCGUCAAUGAGAUUGCCCUCUAAACGUAAUCCAAUCACCGGAGGUCGAGCCGGGAUUUUACGACGUCCAACGCUUCUGAUCCGAAGUAAAAGAGGAGGAAAAGAGGCGGCGCCGUACGGCGGUAAGUGACCGGAGAAAAAAAAAGGAAUUGCUCCUUGGGGUGCGGCCACCGUUGGAUUGACAGGACUGUAAAAUCUUGAUCUUAUUUGCUGGUCAUAAGGGAUUAUUAGGUCGUAGAUGAAGGAAGGGAUGUUUGCCAUUGGGAGUAGUUUGAAAAAAACCUCUUCUUUUUUUCGAUUUAUGCCUGGUUUGUUCUGAACCGUUAUUGUAUUAGGCACUUCAUCGCAACACCCUUUACGGCUCUUGACAGAUUCGCUAGGGUCGAUCUCAAGUCUUGGGCCGUGGUUAAGUGGCCCCGUUCCAUUUCCCUUUGUCGACUGCGGUCUGCGUUACCGAUGAUGGACACGUCGGACACGACCGGAGAAUAAUAACGAGAAAAAGAGAAAUCUAUCGAUACAACCCUCUUUACAUCAUCCCAAAAAAUAACUUUUAAAAUUUAUCUUAUAAGAAGAUAAUCUAUCACCACUUUACCCCCAACGGGUUUGGAAAAACAAGUUGAUUCAUUAAUAACUUUCACCUUUAAGGGAACGAUUUAUAACACGCGUUAGUAACUUUCUGCCUGUUAAUAGUUUGUACAGACACGGAGGGUUUCCUGAAGCUUCAGGACGCCCUCCAUUUCUAAACCCACCCUCCACGUUCGUUUAGUAUAUUAAGCCGACAAGUGUUCGUGGAUUAAGUUGCACCAGUCAGCACCGGAGCGAGUGAUUAAUGGUUACAGGACAUCCUUCUCACUCCUACAAACUGAUACAGCCUCCACUGGACCAGCAAGUUUAAUUAAUACGUCCUCUUGAAUAUCUCCGUUUUAACGCCGAAACUGUGGCGCGUAUAAUGUAUUGCGGUAUUUUCCAAAAACCCCGUGAAUUAUUCAUGAGUUGAGAUGAGGGCGCAGAUACCAAGAACCGGGAAAUGAAGACAACCCCCACCAAAGUCGCGGUGUUCCUCUAUAUUCGUUUCAUUAUUAAAGAUUGUCGCGAAACGAUAAGGUUUGAUUUAGAUGACACCCCCAGUUUUUAGCAUUUUUAUUGGGUUUAAACGAUUUCUUUAAAUAACAGUUAUCCUUUUUGUUUAAGGGGAACGCAAAUUGUCUAGUAAAUCUAGACAGGUACCGUCCCCUUUUUUGUUCGAUGUAGUUGAUGUCGAGGAGAAGAAAAAAGAGGGAACUUCCGACCGGGUUCAGGCAAUGAACUGCGAAAACUUUAAAAACCAGGGGGCCCUUCCACAAAAUAGCCUUAUAACGGCGCUGCACCGGCUUUGGGCCCCCCCAAUUUCCGUGGGCGUCCGUGCACGAGGUGGCGCCGGAACGUGCUUCCACGAUGACGGCGAACCCCGCGCAUAUUGGCGUUAUUUAUUUCCGUGACAUGUGCUGCUCGAUAUGUAUAUUGUCGGUCAAUCUGCAUUGCCCCUCGAUUCAAUUCUGGCUUCGCAACGAAGCUCCCUUACUACAACCACCUCCUCAACCCCCAUAGAAGAACUUUUCUUAGCUGUCAUAAAUAUGCCAAUAAAAUCGGACAUAGGGUAGUUUUUGCUUGGACCGCCACUAAACGAUUUAUAGUUUUAUAUAUAUUGAGGGGGCUGAACUCACAUAUGAAAUCUUUGGGGGCAGUUAGUUAGAUCGUUUAGAAGGUAAUUGAUUUAAGUAAACUUCUUUGAUAUAAACCAGUAUGUCUUUACCUUAUUUUAGAAAGUUAUUUGAAAACUUUUGGCAAUAAGUUUAACCUCCACAUCUUUGGUUUUAGGAUGAAGAUAAGAAUCAUUUCAAAUCUGAGGGUUCCAGACUGCAGGUCAUGUUCAUCGUUGAACAUCAGGAAAAUGAUCUACCUGAGUAAUCGCACAGCAUUCAUCUCUCCAAGGGAUCUUCUUCCAAAAAUGGAACUUCCACACCAUCUACAAAUGGUCAAAGUCAAUUAUUCUCCAGAAAUAUUUGUCAGAGAGACUACAAGAUAUGGAAAAACUUAUGAAUCGUCCAGAACCUCAAGAAGAUGAAAUUAACAUGUUUUUCCAAACAAUGUGAAAAUAUUUCGACCUGAUCUUGCCACCCGAAUGAAAUUGACCAUUUUCAAAGUAGUUACGGAAUCUGCAAUCAUCUUUCCCAUAUACUACAGGAUUUACAAAUAUCCAGUACACUGAAAACCCAUUCUUUUAUUCCUCCGAAUCAACAUCAUCACCCUUGACCACUCCACAUUCAUCUCACACAGAAGCUUCCUUUGACAUAGUUUCUCAAGGUUUAGCACACGAUUCCUCUUGUUGCACAUUGUCUCCAUUUUACUCUCUGACUACGUCGACUGCAUAGAUAACUACGCUGUUUACGAGAACAAUUUUACGCCGCUUUCCUGUCGACGCUUUUAAGGCAAAUCAUGUGUGUAAUUUUGUUAUAUUUUAUUCGAAAAUAUUGGUAAAUUUCCUUAUUUUAUUCUUAUAUUUUCCCUUUCAAAAUCAAUGCAGGAUUCGCCUCCCCCAUUCUUACCAUUCUUCACACGUCUAAUUGGGCGUAGAAUACAGACAUCGGUGCCCGCACCUUCUCGCACAAAGCCCCUUUUCCCCACACAUUUCCCCAAGUCAUCCAUUAAGCAGAAACUAAGCGAUAGAGUCAAAAUAACGGCCGCGACCAUUUCCAUGGUUAUCUUAAACGAUGUCGCGAUCAAUUAAGUGACCACAUUUUCAUUGCGGUAGUCGGAAGAUCUCCCGUCCUGCUGCUGCUUGGUUAAACGAGGGUGGAGAUAAUGAGCGGAAUCGUUCGCGUUGGGCAUUUCGAAUUAAGAUGCUCCGUGCGUCCGAGGACGUCUAGUAACUGCAUUUGCCGAAACCGUCGGAUAUAGUCCUGUGGGGUGAUUGGAAUACUGAAAGAGACGUGAUGGAUAUGGAUUUUUUUCUUUUUCGAGGAGAGGAAAUGUUGUAUGAAAUGCAUUUUUUUUUUUUGAACAAAAUGAUUGGAACUGAUUGAAGCAUAAAGAUCGUAGGAACGGUUUAAAACAUUUCUUUUCUUUUUCAAAGGUUUUUACGGAUCAGUUGGUAAAGCAUCGUUGGUGGCGGGUCGUUAAAACGGCCACCCCCCGACAAUGUCGGCCCCUAUUAGUUAUUGGUAAUGGUCAAGGUGACGAAAUCGGGGAAUUAUACCGUCUUUAUGUCCGAUAAACGUCACCCGCACGGUCGCUCCAAAGAGUGGUUUGGUCGUCGGGCAAGACAAGAAAAAAAAAGAAGUUUGAUAAAAAAACUGAGAGGGUAAGUGGCGAUGCGUUUCCACCCCCCGAAGACGACAUCCAACAGUGCUUUCUCCCCGAGAUAAAGCCGUCGUUUGUAUCAGUAUAGUUCGCAGCGAUCUCCCAUUGCUGAUUUUCGAUACGAUGUCAACUAUGGUAACAGAACCGUAUUAAGCACAAACACAUUUCUAUAUUUAAGAAAACGGCAGUGUUAGUUUAAAGCUGUGCUAAAAAAUUAUGUUGAGGAUUCCUAAUCUCACUUUUCCAACACAACCUAACCUCACUUUUUCAAAUGACAUUUUUUUGACGUUUCAUUAAAAAAAUUUUUACUCACCUAGUUUUUGAAAUGAAACUAAAAAGAAAUUUGCGUCAUAGAAGUUCGUUUUAGUCACUCGUUCACGUUUUACGUUAUAAAAAAAUCAAUUAAUAGUAUUUCUCGUUUCUCGUGGUUUUAAAUUACGUGUUAAAAUAUUUGACAUGAUGAGAAGAUAGUUACAAAAGUACAUUUUCAGACUUUUCCCGACAGAUGGCGUUAUCUCCUAUGCGUUUUUUUGAAGUGUCAUUUUUAACGUUUCAUUAAAAAACUCAUUUUACGUUAGAAAUAAAACUAAAACUAGAAACCUAGAAAAUUUCGGGUUAUGCCGUGCAUCACAGACGUUACAUCGACAGAAAAGUCUAUGAAACUCAUAUGAAAAUGUUUUGACUAAAAUAAUUUUUUGUUCAAAAGUUGUCAAUCUGCCGUUACCAUGGUGAUUUCUCAAUAAGCA
rnacentral:lncRNA from 1 species